GGCGAACGGGUGAGUAACACGUGAGUAACCUGCCCUUGACUUUGGGAUAACUUCAGGAAACUGAGGCUAAUACCGGAUAGGAGCUCCUGCUGCAUGGUGGGGGUUGGAAAGUUUCGGCGGUUGGGGAUGGACUCGCGGCUUAUCAGCUUGCUGGUGGGGUAGUGGCUUACCAAGGCUUUGACGGGUAGCCGGCCUGAGAGGGUGACCGGCCACAUUGGGACUGAGAUACGGCCCAG
rnacentral:rRNA from 1 species